rnacentral:rRNA from 1 species
AUUGAACGCUGGCGGCAGGCCUAACACAUGCAAGUCGAGCGGAGCGGCGGACGGAUGAGUAAUGCAUAGGAAUCGGCCUGGUAGUGGGGGAAAACGUCCGGAAACGGGCGCUAAUACCGCAAAUUAUCAGAUGAGCCUAGGUCGGAAUAGCUAGUUGGUGGGGUAAAGGCCGACCAAGGCGACGAUCCGUAACUGGUCUGAGAGGAUGAUCAGUCACACUGGAACUGAGACACGGUCCAGACUCCUACGGUAGGCCGCAGUGGGGAAUAGUGGACAAUGGGCGAAAGCCUGAUCCAGCCAUGCCGCGUGUGUGAAGAAGGUCUUCGGAUUGUAAAGCACUUUAAGUUGGGAGGCGUUACCAACAGAAUAAGCACCGGCUAAGUACGUGCCAGCAGCCGCGGUAAUAC